CCUACGGGAGGCUGCAGUGGGGAAUAUUGGACAAUGGGGGGAACCCUGAUCCAGCCAUGCCGCGUGUGUGAAGAAGGCCCUCGGGUUGUAAAGCACUUUCAGUGAGGAAGAACGCCUGGUGGUUAAUACCCAUCAGGAAAGACAUCACUCACAGAAGAAGCACCGGCUAACUCCGUGCCAGCAGCCGCGGUAAUACGGAGGGUGCGAGUGUUAAUCGGAAUUACUUGGCGUAAAGCGCGCGUAGGUGGCUUGAUAAGCCGGUUGUGAAAGCCCCGGGCUCAACCUGGGAACGGCAUCCGGAACUGUCAAGCUAGAGUGCAGGAGAGGAAGGUAGAAUUCCCGGUGUAGCGGUGAAAUGCGUAGAGAUCGGGAGGAAUACCAGUGGCGAAGGCGGCCUUCUGGACUGACACUGACACUGAGGUGCGAAAGCGUGGGUAGCAAACAGGAUUAGAUACCCUGGUAGUC
rnacentral:rRNA from 1 species